UUUCUUCGGAAAAAUAUAAAAGUAUUGGGGAAAAAGUAACUUUAGUAGAUAUUACAAGUCUAAUAGUUUCUUUUUUACUAAAUUCUCCGAGGAUAAGCUCGGAGAAAAGCUAAGAAAAAUACUUAAAUUAGUUGUUGUGUGGGCUUAAGAUUGGCCAGCAUAAAAGUUUGUUAUAAAAUAAUAACGCAAUUUAUAAAAAUCAAUUUAUAUUAAUCUAGCUACCUAGGAAGAUAAUGAGUCUUAAUUAAUAAAGAUCAUAAGCCUAUGCUAAGAUGAGUAUUAAAAGCAAAUAUAUGUAUUGAGAAAUAUUUUUUCUCCCACAAACAGUAUUUUACAGACAAAUUAAUUUGAAGGAACUCGGCAAGUUCAGUUGUUUCGCCUGUUUAUCAAAAACAUCGCUCUCUGCAUUAUAUAAACGUAUAGAGAGUCGAGCCUGCCCAGUGAAUUUUUUUAACGGCCGCGGUACUCUGACCGUGCAAAGGUAGCAUAAUCAUUUGCCUUAUAAUUGAAGGCUUGUAUGAAUGGUUUGACGAGAGCAACUCUGUCUCCUUUUUAUUUUUUAGAAUUUAACUUUUAGGUGAAGAGGCCUAAAUUUAAUUGAAGGACAAGAAGACCCUGUCGAGCUUAAAAGAAAUUGUAGAAGCCAAUAUAUUUUUAAAUAAAUAUUCUGCUAAGCUUUUUAGUUGGGGCGACUAAGGAACAAUAAAAGCUUCUUAUGUAACAACAAACAACCAAGUUUAGAUCCGGCAUUUGCCGAUCAAUGGAAUUAGUUACCGCAGGGAUAACAGCAUAAUCUCUCUUGAGAGACCUAAUCGAAAGAGGGGGUUGUGACCUCGAUGUUGGACUAGAAUAUCCUGAAGAUGCAGAAG
rnacentral:rRNA from 1 species